rnacentral:rRNA from 10 species
AAGGUCUCCGUUGGUGAACCAGCGGAGGGAUCAUUG